GCUCCUAUAGUCUAGUGGUCAAGGACGCGGCCCUUUCGCGGCCGAAACCCGGGUUCGAAUCCCGGUCGGAGCA
rnacentral:tRNA from 1 species